rnacentral:rRNA from 1 species
ACUCAAAUGAAUUGACGGGGACCCGCACAAGCGGUGGAGCAUGUGGUUUAAUUCGACGAUAAGCGAGGAACCUUACCAAGUCUUGACAUGUAGCUGCAUCUCCCAGAAAUGGGAGCGCCUUCGAGGGUGCUACACAGGUGCUGCACGGUUGUCGUCAGCUCGUGCCGUGAGGUGUUCACUUAAGUGUGAAAACGAGCGCAACCCCUAUUACCAGUUACAAGUGUCUGGUGAAACUGCCGGCGUUUAAGCCGGAGGAAGGUGGGGAUGACGUCAAAUCAGCGUGGCUCUUACGACUUGGGCGACACACGUGCUACAAUGGAAUGGAACAAAGGGACGCCAAGGAGCAAUCCGGAGCAAAUCCAAGCAAAACAUUCCUCAGUUCGGAUUGAGGGCUGCAACUCGCCCUCAUGAAGCUGGAAUCGCUAGUAACCGUAGAUCAGCCUCGCUACGGUGAAUACGUUCUCGGGUUUUGUACACACCGCCCGU